GGAGGUAGUGACAAUAAAUCACAAUGCGGGACUAUUCGUCUUGCAAUUGGAUUGAGAACAAUGUACAACUCUUAUCGAUAAGCCAUUGGAGGGCAAGUCUGGUGCCAGCAGCCGCGGUAAUUCCAGCUCCAAUAGCGUAUAUUAACGUUGUUGCAGUUAAAAAGCUCGUAGUUGAAGUGUGGGUGGUGCCAUCUGUGGAGCUUCGGCUUUUCAGAUGCUCACUACCCCCUUCCAGUAUCCAGUAGUGGGUAUUCAGUUACUUACUAUUGUGUGUUGGUCAUUUACUGUGAGAAAAUUAGAGUGUUCAAAGCAGGCGUUUGCUUGAAUAGAUUAGCAUGGAAUAAUAAUUGAAGGCUUUCGUGUUCGAUUUGAUUGGUUUGUUCAUGGAAGCAAGGUUAAAAGGAACAGUUGGGGGUAUUCAUAUUCACUAGUUAGAGGUGAAAUUCUCGGAUUUAUGGAAGAUGAACAAGUGCGAAAGCA
rnacentral:rRNA from 1 species